rnacentral:rRNA from 1 species
GACGAACGCUGGCGGCGUGCCUAAUACAUGCAAGUCGAGCGGAAUGAUGAAGAAGCUUGCUUCUUCUGAUUUUAGCGGCGGACGGGUGAGUAACACGUGGGCAACCUACCUUGUAGAUUGGGAUAACUCCGGGAAACCGGGGCUAAUACCGAAUAAUCCAUUUUGCUUCAUGGCGAGAUGUUAAAAGGCGGUUUCGGCUGUCACUACAAGAUGGGCCCGCGGCGCAUUAGCUAGUUGGUAGGGUAAUGGCCUACCAAGGCGACGAUGCGUAGCCGACCUGAGAGGGUGAUCGGCCACACUGGGACUGAGACACGGCCCAGACUCCUACGGGAGGCAGCAGUAGGGAAUCUUCCACAAUGGACGAAAGUCUGAUGGAGCAACGCCGCGUGAGUGAAGAAGGUUUUCGGAUCGUAAAACUCUGUUAUUAGGGAAGAAUACGUACGAGAGUAACUGCUCGUACCUUGACGGUACCUAACCAGAAAGCCACGGCUAACUACGUG